GCCUGGAUGCGACCCUGUGCCAUGUGCUCUUGGUGUCCCUACUUGAGCAGGGGCAUUGGUCUAGAUGAUCUCUAGAGGUCCCUUCGAACCUCAACCUUUCUGUGAUUCUGUGAAUUUCUGCUCUG